AAACCUAAAAUGUGGAACAAUACAAAUUUCCACCACAGAAAACCAUCAAACAGAACUAUUCUGCAAGACAGUACCUCACCCCGGCGUCCAAGGCCAGGACCCUGCACGGUAAGCCUCAUUUAAGGAAAGGCUGAGUGUUACAGUCUUGCCAGGCAGCGGGGAACCGUGGUGAUAAGGGCAAUGAGACACCAGCCGGAGCUCAGCGUGUUGGCGGAGUUUGGCCACACGCUUGGCAGCACGAAAAUGCCCGGACAGCACUAACUCUAAGAGGGACUUUCAAGUUCAGCUGUGAUGUCCGCACAAGCAAUGCCAAACCUAGUCUGGGAGUCCAGCAUUCUGGAGCAGGAAAGAGAAGAAGGGAUCAUGUCCACCCCAGGCAGAGACGGCAAACGCCUCCUCAUCGCCACGCUUGCCUGGACCAUGCUAUGAAAGAAAAGAAACGUCACCGUCGCACCUGGCUGCCACAGUGGGUCACACUGAGAAGUCCACUCCAGGAUGGACAGCCUUGGCCAGAAGCGCCCACACAGGCGAUCUGGUCGUCAGGAAGGCUGAAAUUCUGCUCUCUUGAAUGCAUGUCCAGAGAAUUCUGACAAGCUUUUUCCUGGACCACUCAAGGCCCCACUGUAAACAGGGAAACUCCUUGUUCUGUCCUCAUCUGAAGGGAGACUCUGGAACGCCAACAAUUCUCCCUCUAUCAAGAAUGAGACAUCCUUGUCAAGAUCUCACAGACUUCAGGGCCUUAUAGAGUGAGCAGCCAAGGGAAAAUGCUCCCAAGGAUAAGGAAACAGAGGAACCUCAGAUUCCAUCAAAACAACCAUUAGAGUAGAUUCCAGAACAACAGCUUCCCGUGCCAGCUGGCCAUCAUGCCUGUCCAUUUUCAGAGUAAUCAACUGUAUGAAUAUAUUUUUAAAAGGUAGGUGUGAGUGAGAGCAGAUUUGGUUUCCAUUUUCCCUUUGGUAGAUAAUAAGCUAUGAAAGCUUUCUUUAAGAAUAUUUGUAAAUGUGCCCAGAGGUUAGCGAAAAAUGAGAACAUUUGAUACAGCAAAUAAUACCAGCUUUGUGUAUUCUCCUGAAGUUUCCUAAGCUUGAAUCCUAGGCUGGAAUCAUUCUCUCCAGUAUCCUAAAAGACUACAUAAGAUGAAAGGUAGGGAAUCUUGGUAUAACCUAGGAAGUAAUGCUUACCAGCAAAUAAAGUCACUCAUCAAUUAUCUGUAGAUAAGUGGACUUUGGGGAAAAAAUUGUAUUUAAAAAAUCUCUGAGGAGCUCAAAUAGUUGACAAACCCCAAGCACGUAAGCAAGUCUUAAGAGUUUUGAUCAUUCUUCAUGACUUGCCGACAUUUAGUUUGCAUACAUUUCUACCAGACAGAGCCAUCUGGCUUUUCAGACCUCAGCCAAUGGAAAAUGGAACUUUUGAAAAAGAGAGACAGGAGCAAACAAGGACCAGGUAACAGAAGUGACAGGAGUGACAGCUAGAGAAGAAA